AGAGUUUGAUCCUGGCUCAGAUUGAACGCUGGCGGCAUGCCUUACACAUGCAAGUCGAACGGCAGCACGGGAGCUUGCUCCUGGUGGCGAGUGGCGAACGGGUGAGUAAUAUAUCGGAACGUACCCUAGAGUGGGGGAUAACGCAGCGAAAGUUGCGCUAAUACCGCAUACGAUCUACGGAUGAAAGUGGGGGAUCGCAAGACCUCAUGCUCAUGGAGCGGCCGAUAUCUGAUUAGCUAGUUGGUAGGGUAAAAGCCUACCAAGGCUUCGAUCAGUAGCUGGUCUGAGAGGACGACCAGCCACACUGGAACUGAGACACGGUCCAGACUCCUACGGGAGGCAGCAGUGGGGAAUUUUGGACAAUGGGCGCAAGCCUGAUCCAGCAAUGCCGCGUGAGUGAAGAAGGCCUUCGGGUUGUAAAGCUCUUUUGUCAGGGAAGAAACGGUGGACUCUAAUACAGAUCACUAAUGACGGUACCUGAAGAAUAAGCACCGGCUAACUACGUGCCAGCAGCCGCGGUAAUACGUAGGGUGCAAGCGUUAAUCGGAAUUACUGGGCGUAAAGCGUGCGCAGGCGGUUUGGUAAGACAGAUGUGAAAUCCCCGGGCUCAACCUGGGAAUUGCAUUUGUGACUGCCCGGCUAGAGUGUGUCAGAGGGGGGUAGAAUUCCACGUGUAGCAGUGAAAUGCGUAGAGAUGUGGAGGAAUACCGAUGGCGAAGGCAGCCCCCUGGGAUAACACUGACGCUCAUGCACGAAAGCGUGGGGAGCAAACAGGAUUAGAUACCCUGGUAGUCCACGCCCUAAACGAUGUCUACUAGUUGUUGGGUCUUAAUUGACUUAGUAACGCAGCUAACGCGUGAAGUAGACCGCCUGGGGAGUACGGUCGCAAGAUUAAAACUCAAAGGAAUUGACGGGGACCCGCACAAGCGGUGGAUGAUGUGGAUUAAUUCGAUGCAACGCGAAAAACCUUACCUACCCUUGACAUGUACGGAAUCCCUGAGAGAUUAGGGAGUGCUCGAAAGAGAACCGUAACACAGGUGCUGCAUGGCUGUCGUCAGCUCGUGUCGUGAGAUGUUGGGUUAAGUCCCGCAACGAGCGCAACCCUUGUCAUUAGUUGCUACGAAAGGGCACUCUAAUGAGACUGCCGGUGACAGACCGGAGGAAGGUGGGGAUGACGUCAAGUCCUCAUGGCCCUUAUGGGUAGGGCUUCACACGUCAUACAAUGGUACAUACAGAGGGCCGCCAACCCGCGAGGGGGAGCUAAUCCCAGAAAGUGUAUCGUAGUCCGGAUUGUAGUCUGCAACUCGACUACAUGAAGUUGGAAUCGCUAGUAAUCGCGGAUCAGCAUGUCGCGGUGAAUACGUUCCCGGGUCUUGUACACACCGCCCGUCACACCAUGGGAGCGGGUUUCACCAGAAGUAGGUAGCCUAACCGUAAGGAGGGCGCUUACCACGGUGGGAUUCGUGACUGGGGUGAAGUCGUAACAAGGUA
rnacentral:rRNA from 1 species